rnacentral:rRNA from 1 species
UAAUGCAGUCGAGCGAACAGACGAGGAGCUUGCUCCUCUGACGUUAGCGGCGGACGGGUGAGUAACACGUGGAUAACCUACCUAUAAGACUGGGAUAACUUCGGGAAACCGGAGCUAAUACCGGAUAACAUGUUGAACCGCAUGGUUCAACAGUGAAAGACGGUCUUGCUGUCACUUAUAGAUGGAUCCGCGCCGCAUUAGCUAGUUGGUAAGGUAACGGCUUACCAAGGCAACGAUGCGUAGCCGACCUGAGAGGGUGAUCGGCCACACUGGAACUGAGACACGGUCCAGACUCCUACGGGAGGCAGCAGUAGGGAAUCUUCCGCAAUGGGCGAAAGCCUGACGGAGCAACGCCGCGUGAGUGAAGAAGGUCUUCGGAUCGUAAAACUCUGUUAUUAGGGAAGAACAAAUGUGUAAGUAACUAUGCACGUCUUGACGGUACCUAAUCAGAAAGCCACGGCUAACUACGUGCCAGCAGCCGCGGUAAUACGUAGGUGGCAAGCGUUAUCCGGAAUUAUUGGGCGUAAAGCGCGCGUAGGCG